AGAAUACCAAUGACUCUUAGACUCAUUCCCGGGCCUCCGGCUGACCACGGGAAAGGGGAUCUUCAGGAGCGGGUGUCUCAUGGCUGGGAAGAGGACGGCACAGGAGGGCUGGGGAACCCGAAUUGCAGCCUGAAUGGCCAGUGUCCUUUCUCCAGAAUGCAGUUCUCCCUUGCUCAGAAGAAAUGAGUCUGCCAGUGGGUACAACAUGAGAUGAUACUUCCACCCCCAUUGGUGACAGCCCUCACCUAGCUAUCAAGACAGUGUUCGACUUCCUUCACUCCUUCCAGGGGCCAGCAUGUGGCUGGCCACUGUCCACCCUCAGGGGUUGUGAACUGAAUUAAAGGGUUGCGUCCUUCAUCCAUUUUCUUUGCUGAACUGUCUUGAAUUUUACCCUAAGUUCAAAAUGAAGCAGACCAUAGCUGAGUUUAAAGGAGAUCCGAUUGACAUUGGGAAGUGGCACCCAAUAAGAUGGCUGUUUCUUCCGCCUGCUCCAGGGCUCGCCAACAGGAGAACUGAAAGCUGAAGCAUCUCAACCUGCAGAUACAUCUCAAAGGCCCCUUCAGCCGAUGUCCUCAGUGCCCUUGACACAGCCCCUUGGCACUUGCCUUCCACACACAUGCUGCUGCACCAGUUUCCUCCUGGUAGCAUCUUCCUUUCCGCCUGAGGAUUUCCCAGGCAUCCUGCCUCCAAGAAAGUCAGAAGUCAGUGCCUUCCUGAGAGCCGGUGAGAGCUCCGUCUCCCUUGGGCAAGUGGUGCUGAUGCCUGUUCCCUGCAUCCAUCUCUCAGAAGCCACAGCAGAACUGAGCUCCAGGGGCCACUGCGAUACACCUUCGCAAUGGUGACCACAAGAAUCCACUCAGCCUUGGAAGCUGUCCUUGAAACUCACCCUGAAAUCCCUGCCUAGCAGACAGGAGACCUCAGGCUGGACUCCACUCACUAUGUUAUCUCGGCCUCCCCGGGACUCUUAGGACACGACUUUCUUAAUCUUUCCAAGGGGCUAAGCUUAACCAAAAGGAAAUACUGCAUAAGAUGUGUGAAUACUUCAAGAUCUGUGGAAUAUGAAGCUGAAAACAGCUCUGUGUUUAGAAAUGGUUACCGUGCAUGUGUCUGUUUCCCCGAACUAGCACCAGAGCCUCGGUUUGAGGGUCUGUAUUUGAUCCUUUUCUCCUUAGAAAAGAGAGACCUUGUUGAAGGAAUGUUCUUUUUCCAGAGGAAAUUUGGGAAACAAAACGGUCACCUUAAAAACAGCAGCACAAGAAAGUUUGUCCUUAAAUUUAAAUUUUCUUUCAAGCCAGGAAUUAAAGCAAAGGUGGGAGUGGAAGAAUCUCUUCAGAUUGUAACUCUUGAAAUUUCCAGGCUAAGGGAAGUCACUGUGGGAGCAUUCGAGCAGAUUGGUGGUCACCACUGGGGAUUCUAGGAAAGACACGUUUCUUCAUGUUUUUAAUCUCAUCCUUUAAUUCCAAUUUCGGUGUAUGUUAUAUGUUUUGUAAGGUAUUCUAACAUUAAAUACGUGUUAUAUGAA
rnacentral:lncRNA from 1 species